rnacentral:rRNA from 1 species
AGUGAACGCUGGCGGUAGGCCUAACACAUGCAGGUCGAACGGCAGCACAGUAAGAGCUUGCUCUUACGGGUGGCGAGUGGCGGACGGGUGAGGAGUACAUCGGAAUCUACUUUUUCGUGGGGGAUAACGUAGGGAAACUUACGCUAAUACCGCAUACGACCUACGGGUGAAAGCAGGGGAUCUUCGGACCUUGCGCGAUUGAAUGAGCCGAUGUCGGAUUAGCUAGUUGGCGGGGUAAAGGCCCACCAAGGCGACGAUCCGUAGCUGGUCUGAGAGGAUGAUCAGCCACACUGGAACUGAGACACGGUCCAGACUCCUACGGGAGGCAGCAGUGGGGAAUAUUGGACAAUGGGCGCAAGCCUGAUCCAGCCAUACCGCGUGGGUGAAGAAGGCCUUCGGGUUGUAAAGCCCUUUUGUUGGGAAAGAAAAGCAGCAGGUUAAUACCCCGCUGUUCUGACGGUACCCAAAGAAUAAGCACCGGCUAACUUCGUG